rnacentral:rRNA from 1 species
GCACUUUGGAAAGAGAGUCAAACAGUACGUGAAAUUGUUGAAAGGGAAGCGCUUGCAAUCAGACUUGCCCGCAGGCGAUCAGCCGGUAUUCUUACCGGUGCACUCGCCCGUGGUCAGGCCAGCAUCGGUUUGGGCGGCUGGAUAAAGUCCACCGGAACGUAGCUCCUCUCGGGGAGUGUUAUAGCCGGAGGUGCCAUGCAGCCCGCCCGGACCGAGGACCGCGCUUCGGCUAGGAUGCUGGCGUAAUGGUUGUAAGCGACCCGUCUUGAAACACGGACCAAGGAGUCUAACAUCUAUGCGAGUGUUUGGGUGUCAAACCCAUGCGCGUAAUGAAAGUGAACGGAGGUGGGAACCCUUCAGGGUGCACCAUCGACCGAUCCUGAUGUCUUCGGAAGGAUUUGAGUAAGAGCAUAGCUGUUGGGACCCGAAAGAUGGUGAACUAUGCCUGAAUAGGGUGAAGCCAGAGGAAACUCUGGUGGAGGCUCGCAGCGGUUCUGACGUGCAAAUCGAUCGUCAAAUUUGGGUAUAGGGGCGAAAGACUAAUCGAACCAUCUGUCACUAGAUGGCACACGGGGCCUGCGUGCCCCGGUAGUCCCGGCAGUGCGGGGGCAACAUCGCCGGUCUCUUCAGGAACGCCUCUGGGCUACCUGCAGUGAGCCUCGGGCUCAUUCACAGACUAAGUGGCGGUGGCCGUGACCUGGAUCAUGGUUAGGAUAUAGCC